rnacentral:rRNA from 1 species
UGGGGAAUUUUGUACAAUGGGCGCAAGCCUGAUCCAGCCAUUCCGCGUGCAGGACGAAGGCCUUCGGGUUGUAAACUGCUUUUGUACGGAACGAAAAGGCUCUGGCUAAUACCUGGGGCUCAUGACGGUACCGUAAGAAUAAGCACCGGUUAACUACGUGCCAGCAGCCGCGGUAAUACGUAGGGUGCAAGCGUUAAUCGGAAUUACUGGGCGUAAAGCGUGCGCAGGCGGUUAUGUAAGACAGAGGUGAAAUCCCCGGGCUCAACCUGGGAACUGCCUUUGUGACUGCAUCGCUGGAGUACGGCAGAGGGGGAUGGAAUUCCGCGUGUAGCAGUGAAAUGCGUAGAUAUGCGGAGGAACACCGAUGGCGAAGGCAAUCCCCUGAGCCUGUACUGACGCUCAUGCACGAAAGCGUGGGGAGCA